rnacentral:rRNA from 1 species
UGUGUUGUUGGGUAGGGGAGCGUUCUGUAAGCCUGUGAAGGUGGCCUGUGAGGGUGGCUGGAGGUAUCAGAAGUGCGAAUGCUGACAUAAGUAACGAUAAAGCGGGUGAAAAGCCCGCUCGCCGGAAGACCAAGGGUUCCUGUCCAACGUUAAUCGGGGCAGGGUGAGUCGACCCCUAAGGCGAGGCCGAAAGGCGUAGUCGAUGGGAAACGGGUUAAUAUUCCCGUACUUGGUGUUACUGCGAAGGGGGGACGGAGAAGGCUAUGUUGGCCGGGCGACGGUUGUCCCGGUUUAAGCGUGUAGGUGUGUGUUCCAGGUAAAUCCGGUUCACUUUAACACUGAGGCGUGAUGACGAGGCACUACGGUGCUGAAGCAACAAAUGCCCUGCUUCCAGGAAAAGCCUCUAAGCAUCAGGUAACAUCAAAUCGUACCCCAAACCGACACAGGUGGUCAGGUAGAGAAUACCAAGGCGCUUGAGAGAACUCGGGUGAAGGAACUAGGCAAAAUGGUGCCGUAACUUCGGGAGAAGGCACGCUGACACGUAGGUGAAGUGAUUUACUCAUGGAGCUGAAGUCAGUCGAAGAUACCAGCUGGCUGCAACUGUUUAUUAAAAACACAGCACUGUGCAAACACGAAAGUGGACGUAUACGGUGUGACGCCUGCCCGGUGCCGGAAGGUUAAUUGAUGGGGUCAGCGCAAGCGAAGCUCCUGAUCGAAGCCCCGGUAAACGGCGGCCGUAACUAUAACGGUCCUAAGGUAGCGAAAUUCCUUGUCGGGUAAGUUCCGACCUGCACGAAUGGCGUAAUGAUGGCCAGGCUGUCUCCACCCGAGACUCAGUGAAAUUGAACUCGCUGUGAAGAUGCAGUGUACCCGCGGCAAGACGGAAAGACCCCGUGAACCUUUACUAUAGCUUGACACUGAACAUUGAGCCUUGAUGUGUAGGAUAGGUGGGAGGCUUUGAAGUGUGGACGCCAGUCUGCAUGGAGCCGACCUUGAAAUACCACCCUUUAAUGUUUGAUGUUCUAACGUGGACCCGUAAUCCGGGUUGCGGACAGUGUCUGGUGGGUAGUUUGACUGGGGCGGUCUCCUCCUAAAGAGUAACGGAGGAGCACGAAGGUUGGCUAAUCCUGGUCGGACAUCAGGAGGUUAGUGCAAUGGCAUAAGCCAGCUUGACUGCGAGCGUGACGGCGCGAGCAGGUGCGAAAGCAGGUCAUAGUGAUCCGGUGGUUCUGAAUGGAAGGGCCAUCGCUCAACGGAUAAAAGGUACUCCGGGGAUAACAGGCUGAUACCGCCCAAGAGUUCAUAUCGACGGCGGUGUUUGGCACCUCGAUGUCGGCUCAUCACAUCCUGGGGCUGAAGUAGGUCCCAAGGGUAUGGCUGUUCGCCAUUUAAAGUGGUACGCGAGCUGGGUUUAGAACGUCGUGAGACAGUUCGGUCCCUAUCUGCCGUGGGCGCUGGAGAACUGAGGGGGGCUGCUCCUAGUACGAGAGGACCGGAGUGGACGCAUCACUGGUGUUCGGGUUGUCAUGCCAAUGGCACUGCCCGGUAGCUAAAUGCGGAAGAGAUAAGUGCUGAAAGCAUCUAAGCACGAAACUUGCCCCGA